UAUUGGACAAUGGGGGAAACCCUGAUCCAGCCAUGCCGCGUGUGUGAAGAAGGCCUUCGGGUUGUAAAGCACUUUAAGCAGGGAGGAAAGGGUGUUGGCUAAUAUCCAGCAUCAUUGACGUUACCUGCAGAAUAAGCACCGGCUAACUUCGUGCCAGCAGCCGCGGUAAUACGAAGGGUGCAAGCGUUAAUCGGAAUUACUGGGCGUAAAGCGCGCGUAGGCGGUUUGGUAAGUGUGAUGUGAAAGCCCCGGGCUCAACCUGGGAAUUGCCUCACAUACUGCUAAGCUAGAGUACGGGAGAGGGGGGUAGAAUUCCACGUGUAGCGGUGAAAUGCGUAGAGAUGUGGAGGAAUACCGGUGGCGAAGGCGGCCCCCUGGAUCGAUACUGACGCUGAGGUGCGAAAGCGUGGGGAGCAAACAGG
rnacentral:rRNA from 1 species